GACGAACGCUGGCGGCGUGCUUAACACAUGCAAGUCGAACGGUGAAGCGCCUUCCUUUUUGGUGGGUGUGGAUGAGUGGCGAACGGGUGAGUAACACGUGAGUAACCUGCCCCCUUCUUCUGGAUAACCGCAUGAAAGUGUUGCUAAUACGGGAUAUUCUGGAUCUGUCGCAUGAUGGGUCUGGGAAAGAUAUUGUUUCGGUGGGGGAUGGGCUCGCGGCCUAUCAGCUUGGUGGUGGGGUGAUGGCCUACCAAGGCGGUGACGGGUAGCCGGCCUGAGAGGGUGGACCGUCACACUGGGACUGAGACACGGCCCCGACUGCGACGCGGCGCAGGGGGGGGGACUACUGCACACGGGGGGCGAGCCUGAUGCAGCGGCGCCGCGGGUGAGAUGGAGCCCUUCGUGUUGUGCACCUCUUUCGCCAGUGAAGCAGGCCUGCCUCGUGUGUGGGUGGGUUGACGGUAGCUGGAUAAGAAGCGCCGGCUAACUACGUG
rnacentral:rRNA from 1 species